rnacentral:rRNA from 1 species
CAAUAGCGUAUAUUAAAGUUGUUGCAGUUAAAAAGCUCGUAGUUGAACUUCUGGCCGCGCGCAGUUUUGGUUUCUAUCAGGCUGCGUCGCUGUCAUCCGUCUGCAAACGCCGUACAACCUUUGGUGGCUUGGCGGCGGGAGUAGACAUUUUACUUUGAAAAAAUUAGAGUGUUUCAAGCAGGUUAUUGCCAGAAUACUUUAGCAUGGAAUAAUGGAACAGGACUCAUGUCCAUUUGGUUGGUUAUUGGACACGAGUAAUGAUUAACAGGGACAGUUGGGGGCAUUAGUAUUUAAUUGUCAGAGGUGAAAUUCAUGGAUUUAUUAAAGACUAACUUAUGCGAAAGCAUUUGCCAAGGAUGUUUUCAUUAA